rnacentral:rRNA from 1 species
UACGGAGGAUGCAAGCGUUAUCCGGAAUGAUUGGGCGUAAAGCGUGCGCAGGUGGCUGUGUAAGUCUGCUGUCAAAGAGCAAAGCUCAACUUUGUAAAGGCAGUGGAAACUACACGGCUAGAGUGCGUUCGGGGCAGAGGGAAUUCCUGGUGUAGCGGUGAAAUGCGUAGAGAUCAGGAAGAACACCGGUGGCGAAGGCGCUCUGCUAGGCCGCAACUGACACUGAGGGACGAAAGCUAGGGGAGCGAAUGGG